AUACGUAGGUGACAAGCGUUACCCGGAUUUACUGGGCGUAAAGGGAGCGUAGACGGCGAUGCAAGUCUGAAGUGAAAACCCGGGGCUCAACCCCGCGGACUGCUUUGGAAACUGUGUUGCUGGAGUGCAGGAGAGGUGGGUGGAAUUCCUAGUGUAGCGGUGAAAUGCGUAGAUAUUAGGAGGAACACCAGUGGCGAAGGCGGCUCACUGGACUGUAACUGACGUUGAGGCUCGAAAGCGUGGGGAGCAAACAGGAUUAGAUCCCCUGGUAGUCCACGCCGUAAACGAUGAAUGCUAGGUGUCGGGGGGCAAAGCCCUUCGGUGCCGCCGCUAACGCAUUAAGCAUUCCACCUGGGGAGUACGUUCGCAAGAAUGAAACUCAAAGGAAUUGACGGGG
rnacentral:rRNA from 1 species